GAUGAACGCUGGCGGCGUGCCUAAUACAUGCAAGUCGAGCGAACGGACGAGAAGCUUGCUUCUCUGAUGUUAGCGGCGGACGGGUGAGUAACACGUGGAUAACCUACCUAUAAGACUGGGAUAACUUCGGGAAACCGGAGCUAAUACCGGAUAAUAUUUUGAACCGCAUGGUUCAAAAGUGAAAGACGGUCUUGCUGUCACUUAUAGAUGGAUCCGCGCUGCAUUAGCUAGUUGGUAAGGUAACGGCUUACCAAGGCAACGAUGCAUAGCCGACCUGAGAGGGUGAUGGGCCACACUCGAACUGAGACACGGUCCAGACUCCUACGGGAGGCAGCAGUAGGGAAUCUUCCGCAAUGGGCGAAAGCCUGACGGAGCAACGCCGCGUGAGUGAUGAAGGUCUUCGGAUCGUAAAACUCUGUUAUUAGGGAAGAACAUAUGUGUAAGUAACUGUGCACAUCUUGACGGUACCUAAUCAGAAAGCCACGGCUAACUACGUG
rnacentral:rRNA from 1 species